AGAAAAACGAAGACGAAGAGUAGUACAUUUAUGUCGUAUGUAAAGAGAGUCUGUGGUUGGUGCAAACAGAUGAUACGCUAAGUGGAAUGGACUUCCGAGUUAACUUUGCGAACCUUUAUGUAGUAGCUCUGUUCGUUUACCUCACGUUACGAGGAUGAGUGGUCGAUUUAUCGACAAGCUUGGGUGGUACCGCGGAUUCAACAUCAUUCGUCCCUAUU
rnacentral:ncRNA from 1 species